UGGCUCAGUGGAUAGAGCAUCGGUCUGCGGAACUGAAGGGUCCCAGAUUCGAUUCUGG
rnacentral:tRNA from 1 species